AGAAGGAAGCGGAGGCUGGGGGACAAUCGAAAUAACUCUUCAAGUUUAUCAGAGUUUCACAUAUUGGCAUAAAAGAGCACCAAGGACUUGGAGAAUCCAUUUUAAUAUCAUCUAUCACCAAACAACACAAUCCAAACCCUCAGUUCAGGAAAAACAUAAGUUGGGUCAUUGGAUAAAGUUGUACAAAAAGAAAAAGACUCCCUCGAGCCAAUAUACAGCAUUGAUUCCAUUAGUGAUAGUGAAAGUCAUCCUACACAAUAACCCUCCUCUCUCGUCUCCCUCACACUAACCAAGUUUUUCAAAGGACCAUGAUAAACCACUGAGUACCCUUGUUGAAGAUAGAAAAUAAAGUCUUCUUCCAAGUAGAUACAACCUCAUGCUGUUUGGCCGUCAGAAAUGCCUGAGGAAUACCACAUGUAUCCCACCUGGAGGUGGGGUUUGUGUUAGCUUGUGCUUUGCCUUCAGCUUGGCUUAUGCUCCCUCAUCAAUAUCACUAUUUUCAGAAAUUUACAUUCUUAUCUAUACAUUUCCAAUAAAAUGGCAGGUGGAAAA